rnacentral:rRNA from 1 species
AGCGUUAUCCGGAAUUAUUGGGCGUAAAGGGUGCGCAGGCGGUUUGUUAAGUUUAAGGUGAAAGCGUGGGGCUUAACCCCAUAUAGCCUUAGAAACUGACAGACUAGAGUACAGGAGAGGGCAAUGGAAUUCCAUGUGUAGCGGUAAAAUGCGUAGAUAUAUGGAGGAACACCAGUGGCGAAGGCGGUUGCCUGGCCUGUAACUGACGCUCAUGCACGAAAGCGUGGGGAGCAAAUAGGAUUAGAUACCCUAGUAGUCCACGCCGUAAACGAUGAGAACUAAGUGUUGGGGAAACUCAGUGCUGCAGUUAACGCAAUAAGUUCUCCGCCUGGGGAGUAUGCACGCAAGUGUGAAACUCAAAGGAAUUGACGGGGGCCCGCACAAGCGGUGGAGUAUGUGGUUUAAUUCGACGCAACGCGAAGAACCUUACCAGGUCUUGACAUCCCCUGCAAAGACAUAGAGAUAUGUUGGAGGUUAUCAGGGAGACAGGUGGUGCAUGGUUGUCGUCAGCUCGUGUCGUGAGAUGUUGGGUUAAGUCCCGCAACGAGCGCAACCCUUGUCUUUAGUUGCUAACAUUAAGUUGAGGACUCUAGAGAGACUGCCGGUGACAAACCGGAGGAAGGUGGGGAUGACGUCAAAUCAUCAUGCCCCUUAUGACCUGGGCUACACACGUACUACAAUGGCGGAUACAACGAGAAGCAAGACAGUGAUGUGGAGCAAAACUCAGAAAGUCCGUCUCAGUUCGGAUUGAAGUCUGCAACCCGACUUCAUGAAGCCGGAAUCGCUAGUAAUCGCGGAUCAGCAUGCCGCGGUGAAUACGUUCUCGGGCCUUGUACACACCGCCCGUCAAACCAUGAGAGUUGGCAAUACCCGAAGCCGGUGGCCUAACCUCGCAAGAGGAGGGAGCCGUCGAAGGUAGGGCUGAUGAUUGGGGUUAAGUCGUAACAAGGUAUCCCUACGGGAACGUGGGGAUG